CGUGGGUUCCCAUUCCAGAACAGGGUAAGUCCACAUGCUGACCCGAGAUCGUCGAGAGGCUCCGUUUUCACUAUGCAUUUGGUGCAUGGUGGUCCUUAUUGACUUAAUUUCCGGCUUUCUGUAGAGCUUCGAAGUUGUAAUUGAAGCUUCCAAGCUGGCUGGAGGUAGAGGUUUAUAUUUGAACGCGGUAGCGAGUUGAAUUGGUGAAUUUCUUAGACCUUAUGUGUCGAAUAUUCACGAUGUAGAGCUUACGGUGAAGGAUUGCAUGCUGUCAAUUCCCACUUCUCUCCCGAAGUUCAGGUGCUUUAAUAAGUUUCGAGCCGUUGUCUGCUCUCAGUUUAGCUUUGAAGAACUUGGUUGCUCUUGUAUUGUAGGGUUUGGAAAUCCGCGUACAGCUUGCUGCCGAGUGCACAGUCAGGGUUGAUUGCCAUUUUCGGGUAUUGGCUUAGAAACUUCACGGACAGUCGUAAUGAGAUUCCGUGGCCGGAGGAACCGAGGUUGAGAGUCUUACAAGAAGAAAUGCAUCGGGGAGCUUUGUCUUCUCCUAUGUGACUAUUCUUGUAGGGUUUGAUCAAACUCUGAAGUUCUUAUCAUUGUUCAUCCUUAGGAAUUCAACGGCUCGACUCACGAAUUUGGUGCUCCUCAGUUAUUUAUGGUUCAGUCACUCAGUUGGAGCAGGGAUGGUUUUGCCUGAGUGUCUUUCAUUGUCUGCUUCCUACCGUCUCUCGUGGUGGUGGUUGCUUAUUCAAGCAGAAUUCUCAGAUAUUUAGAACUAGAGAACAUGGUUUAGAGCAAUUAAAAUCUACCGGGAUGCAAGGAGACACCUCAAGCAAUUCUUUAACUUACUGUGCAUGAAAAAUUACACCAGCAAUUAAAGGCUAAAAUGUUAGCUCCUUUAGUAUCUGAAACCUUAAGGUUCGGAGUAUACAUGAAAUGUUUCCCGUUUCUGUGGCAUUGUAACUCCACAGUAAUUUGUUGCUUCCCUGGUACACCUGGAAUAUUUCUCAUUCGCGAUGAUAUCGAAAACAGUUGCGGGUUGCGUCAGGUUAAUUAAAUUCAGAUUUUGCACAAGGAAGUAGUCCCAUGUAAGUUGUAAAGCAUACAGAGAGGUGUAAUAGUGUUAUCAGGAUGCUUAAUUCAGUGCUCCAUCAGGUGGAAUCUUAACAAGAUAAACUGCAUCGUGAUCGUGCCUUCCUCAGCCUAGUUUCGAACCCGUACCACAAAUGAUGUGGGAAACAGAUCGGCGUCUUGUCAGGAUUAUGUUGUUGGUCGACCCUAUGCCCCUUUUCGCAAAGCCAUGUUUCACUUUGCUGUACCCUGUAAAUGCCCCUCGAAUCGGCCUUUGUAUCAACGCCUGCAUCUUUGUGAUACUAAAGCACCAAAACUCAUAAGACGAAUCCUUUGCUGAAAACUUAUCUUACAGAUCUAAGAAUCUUUCAGUAUGAAGCUAUUGUUGUCAUUUCAAUGUGUCGAACAUUAGAGUGAGGGAUAAUAUGCGGUUAUUCAAAGUCAUAGCAGCGUCAAAGUCUAUCAUCAACCAAACGAUAAGCCAGUGCAGAUUGCAAUGGUAGAUUACAAUGGUUCACCGGAAAUAAACAAUACGAAGUGGUGGGUGAGGGUGACUUCUGGCUCAUCACCCCCUUAGUCGUUGGGGCUCCGCAGGACUGUGAUCAGGAACAAUUCACAAUGUGUGAACUAGCAUUUAGCGACUCUUCUGGCAACCGCCUUCAUGCCUUUAGCAUUUACAAUACCUGAAGGUUUGUAAUACGUGAAGUCCUCUUUCUUGUCAUACAAGUUAAGAACUGUCUUUGUUUGGUAUUUUCAACAGACUUUUAACACCUCAUUGUGUGCGAACAUGUUCGACAACUUUGACUCCAGUAUCAAUCAGUAUUACCUGGAUUGAGGAGUAUAUGUUUUAUCCUUGUUUUCCACACAAUGACUUGGAGCUAUAUCUUGUGAUUUUGAUUGAGGUUGAA